UACGAAGGGGGGCUAGCGUUGCUCGGAAUCACUGGGCGUAAAGCGCACGUAGGCGGCUUUCUAAGUCAGGGGUGAAAUCCUGGAGCUCAACUCCAGAACUGCCUUUGAUACUGGAGAGCUCGAGUCCGGAAGAGGUGAGUGGAACUCCGAGUGUAGAGGUGAAAUUCGUAGAUAUUCGCAAGAACACCAGUGGCGAAAGGCGGCUUCACU
rnacentral:rRNA from 1 species